UCUCUAGGCAUUCCUGUUUCUAUGUGGUCAUCACAAGCUCCCACCAAUUUGUCACAGUGGAGAUUUGGGUUUUUCAGGAUAAGGCUUCCUUGUGUAAUCCUAGAGCGAGCAAGCAAGCAGUGUUUUCAGCACCCACUUGCCACACCGGAUACUGUCUCUGGGCAUACCAGGUUAGAUGCCCAGGGAUGUUCUAUUAAUUAAUAAUAAUAAUAAUAAUAAUUCAUUUAUACCCCGCCCUCCCUGGUCAGGACCAGGCUCAGGGCGGGUAACACCAAAUAUGAAUUACAAUAAAAUGUAAUAGAAAACAGCAAACAAACAAACAGUUAAUUAAAAUACAACUUAAAAUACAGCUUAAAAUGCAGCCUCAUUUUAGUAGUAGCCCUUAAAUCAAGCCCAUAAAGGGAGGAAACAUCAGAUAUUCACCCGAGCCAGCUAUCCAUGCUGGUCCUACAUGGGCGAGCAAAAACAAACAAACAACAACAACAAAAGCAAGGGAAAAUUUAUAUACUAAAUCCCAUAUAAGGGGUCAGAGUGAAUCUAAGCCAAAGGCCAGGCGGAACAGCUCUGUCUUGCAGGCCUUGCGGAAAGAUGUCAAAUCCCGCAGGGCCCUAGUCUCUUGUGACAGAGCAUUCCACCAGGCCAGGGCCAGAGUUCUGGCCCUAGUUGAGACCAAUCUAACCACCUUGCGACCUGGGAUCUCCAAAGUGUUGUUAUUUAUGGACCUUAAGGUCCUCUGCGGGGCAUAUCAGGAGAGGCAGUCCCGUAGGUACAAGGGUCCUAGGCUUUUGCAUAGUCUUGUGAUUCAGCAUCGCCCAUCAUCUCACUGGAGUCUUUGGAUGUGCAGCAUUAGGCUGUCUCACAUGCUCUAAGCCUCGGACACAGGGGAAGUGCCCCCCACUUUGCGGUUUGAGCGAAAAAGGGAACAUGUCCCCCUGCUGCCACUGAAGCCUGCCUUACCCAUGUUGCCUGUCAGCACCCACAAAGCCCUGGCAGCAGUUCUGGCUUCUGUCGAAACCUCAUGAGAUCUCAUGUGUUUGGCGAGACCUCAUGAGAUUUUGCUUCUCUGGAUGCAGCUGCGGGGGCAGCACCUGGUGGGCUUCUGCUGCGCAAAGUGGUCUUUUCCCAGCUGGCAGGGAAGAUAACAUUCUUUGGGGAAGGGUUAUAGCUCAGUGGCAGAGAACCAGGUUUCAUGUUCAUUCCCUGCCCUGUUCAGUUAGGGCUGGAAGCGACCCCUUUCUGAAACUAUGGGGAGAUGCUACCAGUAAGGGUGUAGACACUGCUGAGCUAGGUGGACCAGUGGUGUGAUUCAGUAUAAGACGUGCAGGAGACAAAACCAAACCCAGCCUGGGAUAGGUAGUGGGAAAUGGCUGAAGGGAAAAGCAGCUCAAACUGAUAGCAUCCUGUACCCACUUUACUUUUGUUUUUUUACAUUGAGCAAUGGUUGCACAUGUCUGCCAUGGAAUAUUUAGUUUGGCGCACACAGCUUACCUGAUAGGCUGGUUGAUUUGGCCUAAAGUAUGUUUUUAAUCAUAACUGUAUCUGGUAUAUUAUUUGUAGAGUGGCCACCGACACAUCAUAGAAAUAGAUGACAAAAGAGGGCACAUGUUUGCAUAUAAUUUGCACAUGCUAAUUCAUGUGUGUAAAUGCAAUUUUAGAAAUAAUAUGAUAAUUUAAAUAGAAAUAGCAUACAUCUCACCGUGGAGGGGAAGACUGUGAGGAAGUGACCCGUGUGCUUGGUCAGCCUAUUGUUGGCAUGCUGAUUGUUGAUGGGCAACUUAAAGGCCUUUCUACUGGUGGUUCUUUAUCUUCAAACCAGACUUGGACACUCCUGAAAUAGAGAAUUAUUUCGAACAGCUGACUCCUCUGACAGACCUCCAAACUGUCCUGUCUCUCCUGACACGUUUUGGCAGAGUGAAAAAUGAAUCCUUAGGCAUUCUUCUCCAUCACUGUUUCCACUAUCUAAUCCAGGCAUGUACCGAGAGGCCUUUGUGUGGCUAGAUAUCUCAGCGCACGUGCUGUGUAGUGGCAGUUUUGCUGUUGUCUUUGGGCUCUGAAGCCUCAUGGCGGAUGAGAGCCUAUAGUUCAGCCUGAGACAAACAUUAGGGUUCCAUGUGUUUUCUGGACAUCCAAAGCACCUGUGUGCUGCAUAGGGCAGCUGCCUCAGGCUUUCUUCUGUGCUGUGAAGCUAUUGGUGUGUAGUCUACAUUGCUGCCCCUUUGGCAAGUUGGAGGCUUAAAGACAGAACAGGUCUAGUGAAGUCUGGGGAAGGUUUCUCAAGCUGCACUCAUCCUCCUGUGAGAUGUCUGGUGGAGAGGGUGGUGAUAUUGCUGCACCCUCAAUACACCAAAGGAAUGCCUUGGGACUUGAUCUACCCGCCUUAUAUAUUUCCAAAAUAGUCCUGGAAAAUGCUAGCACGCAGAUGAGCCUCAGUCUACCCAGGAAAUGAUUCCUUUACCAGACGUUGUAGUUCUUACCUCAAUUCAGAAAGGGCUGGGGGACGUGGGUGGUGCUGUGGUCUAAACUACCUAGCCUCUCGGGCUUGCUGAUCAGAAGGUUGGCACUUCAAAUCUGUUCAAUGAGGUGAGCUCCCAUUGCCGUCCCAGCUUCUGCCAACCUAGCAGUUCAAAAGCACGCCAGUGCAAGUAGAUAAAUAGGUACCACUGUGGUGGGAAGGGAAACAGUGUUUCCAGGAGCUCUGGUUUCCGUCACGGUGUUCUGUUGCACCAGAAUCGGUUUAGUCAUGCUGGCCACAUGACCCGGAAAGCUGUCUGUGGACAAACACCGGCUCCCUUGGCCUGAAGCGAGAUGAAAGCCACACCCCAUAGUCACCUUUGACUGGACUUAACUGUCCAGGGGUCCUUUACCAUUACCUUUCAGGAGAGGCAGAACUCUGCCUGUUCCUUCCUUGAGACACACAGUGGAAUCUUCAGUUAGAACCUAAUAAAAUGCAUGUUGCUUCCCUUGAAAAACGUUGCCAAGUAUUUUGGAAAUGAUUUUAGCUUGUAGUACAUCUGCCAUUUAUUUAUGUAUUAAUUUUUUAUGCCAUGGAUAUUUUAGCAUUGUAUAUUUAACAUUUAUUAUUCUCAUUCAUAUCCCUGAUUCGUCAGAUGUUACUAUAAUAUAUAUAUGCACACCAAAUCUGAACAUGAAUCAGGGAAGUGUUUACAAUAUCUUCAUUUAUGCAGCCAAAUGAUAUUUUAGCCUGUAUUACAUCUUCUCUAUGUGCUGAUACUCUUUUAUAUCUGUAACCAUUCAUCAGUAGCAACUUUGUGAAAAUUUCACAAGCAUAUGGCAGAUGUUAAAUUUUUUAAAGCUUUCUUGCAUUUUGAAGUGGGUAUAGUGUCUAAAGCAAUGGAUAAGGGUGCCUUUGUGCCUUGAGUAACGGAAAGAAAGCCAAAUGCACAGGACAGAAAAGUAGUAUUAUAUUUGCUUUUCUUUAACCUUGCUUAUAGCCCAUCCUAUCACUGAAUUUCAAACUGAACAGGCUGAGCUCACAUGCAGGUAUUGUGCGAAUAAUUGUCUCCAUUUGGCAGCUUACAUGCAGCCACCAAGUCCCAACAACACAAGGAUUUACGCUUGGUGUUUUGUUUUUGUAAAAAGUUGAGACUGUGUGGCAGCUUCCUAAUUCUGCUCAUUUCCUUUUGUUUCCAACAACGCGAAAGGGUUGCUAUUAACCAUUUUGUUGUUUUUGAAUAGCGUCAUCCACUGUUAAUGCGUCCUGACCUGAAGAAGUGUGAAGGAACAACUAAUAUUCUAGCACAAUUUGCCUUUGUAUAUAAGAUGAGCUUUUGGAGUGGAAACAUAAAUAUAUAUCACAUGUAUGGGGUAAUUAAUAAAAGCAUUGGCUGGAUUCCCAGACCUAAAGUGUGGGGCUAAAUGCAUUCUCCAGUGAGAGAGCCCAGCAUAGUUUAAAAGUCACAAAAUGUGCAGUGUCAGUGAAGCAUGGGAAUAAUAGAUGGUUAGACCUUUUAAAUACCCUGUUUAGUCUGCUUACAAUGGUUUCCCUCUCUACACCUCUCAAAAUGAACAGACCACGUUGUUAGUAAGUUUAAAUGCUUUACUUACAAACCCCAAAGGUCAGAUGCAGGUGUUAUUCCAUGCAGCAGCAAGAAUAACACAGGUAGAAAAUUAUUGGGUUACAACAUUCAGAAACAUAUUUCUGAGCAUGCAGUCUGUGCUUGAAGCAGUCAGGCCAAGACGUGUUGCCUGGUCAGCUUCACAUGGUGGAAGCUUCACUUCCUUCUUCACUGGAGGUGAGAGGGUGUGACAUGACUGAGUCUAGGGAUACAGUUCUGUGGUCUUAACCCCUUCAUGCAUUAACUAGCAUUAAGCUUGCUGGCUAUAUCUGACUUCAAUUUCCCACAUUAUCUGCUACUGAACAGAAUUUGUUGCUCCUGCUCUACCUGUGGUGCCAGCUGCCCCUUCCCAAAGUGUAUUUCCAAGGAAGAAAAUGCUGUCUACUACAGUUACACAUUUGCAUGUAGUAGGAUGUGUACUUUAGCUGUAAGUCCCACCAAGUAUUACAGCCAUUCAGAGAGUCAAGUCUUGACUUGGGAAACUUCCCCCAAAAGAAGUAUGCAUGGUUUGUGAUCGUUUUUAAACAUACCUUGAAAUCUUUUAUGAUUUUCUGCCUCUGUUUUAUUGGGGUAUUAUCUGCUGGGUUUUAGAUUGCUGCUGUUACAUUUGGAUUGUGUUUGUGUAUUUUAUAGUUUUAAGAUGGUUUAAAUAAGUUUUUCUAAGUUGCCUUAGAAGGACUGCCUCCCUCAAAAGGUGGCAUAAAAUUUUCAUAAAUAAAUAAAACCACCAGCGUUGGAAUCUAUAUUUGAUGCAGAGGCAGUGUGGUGUAGUGGUUAGUGCCUGGGCCAGGGGUCAAAUCCCCACUGAGACAUGAAGCUCAUUGGAUGAUAUUGGGCUGGUCCCCAUCUCUCAGCAUAACCUACCUCUCAGGACUCUGAUGAGGAUAAAAUGUGGGGGCAGGGGAACUAGCAUGAAUGCCACCUUGGGCACCUUGGAUGAAAGGCAAAAUAUAAAUGUGAUAAAGAAAGAUUAAGAAACUAUGUAUUCAUGUCUGGAGUGUUUCUGCUUCUGAGGUUUGUAGCCCUCAUGUUUCCAGACAAACACCCAAACAGGGCUUCAGAUUUCCCUUGGCCAGCCAUCCCCAUUCCCUUCUGUAUUCUCAUUGAUUACAACUGGUGUAUUGGGGUGAAGCUUAGACAAGUUAUGAGUUAUGUGGAAGAACUCAAAAGUUUAAAGAAGUGCACCUGGCUUGCAAGGCUAAAAGUGGGAAAGAAAUAAAGCGGAAUGUAUUUAAUGUUUAAUAUUUUUAUGUAACUAGAAGCACAAGGCAGCUGCUUUCUUAAUAAAUGUUGCAGAAACCUGCCUUAUCAAUUCAUUUUUGACAGACAACAGAAUUUGAAUGUCAUGUUUAAGUAAUAGCUGUAAUGGGUUCCGUCAGUUUUUAUGUGCCUAAUGUAGCCAGGGAACUCUACAGAAAUCUUAAAUAAUUAGCAGUCAUUUUUCAUUAGAAUUAAGUGCAGGUUUUUGUAAUUGUUCCACUUCUACUGUGACAGAAUUGUGAGGAUAAGCUAAAGGAUUCCUCUGGUAAACAUAACAAGGGUGUGUGGGUGUGUAUAGAAAGCAACAAUAAAUCAUGUGGAACUACUUACUGGACAGUUUUUAUGGUGUAUAAUAAAAAGCUUGUUUGAUAUUUGAAAGUGAUAGAGGAUUUUUGAAAUGGGAAUUAGUUGUGGCAAUGGAGCAAGGGAUAGUUUCGGUUAUUUUUCUUAAAAAAGAGGAUUUUCUAUUUCCUGCUCAGAUUUAACAAGCAAGGACAGGCAUCUUCUCAUUGCUGUGUGAUUUCUGAAGGGCCCUUGAAAUAAGCUGUAGUUAAUCAGCCUUAUUUAUCACAUUUUAUUAGUUCACAGUCUAUUAGAGCAAUGAUGGAAAUUUCUUAUUAUUUUCAUUUCUGAACACUUUAUUUUCUAGGCUUUUGACACAGUAUUUUGUGUACCCUACCUAAAAACAACAUAAACUGCCUAUGAUGACAUUCCAAGUCACUAAUCUCACAUUAAGUCAUUGUUCUCAGCCAAAGUACCCAACUGAGGGCAUAGAUAAUGUGAAGACAUCAGAUUUAUUCUCAUUGUACUAUAUUUGGGUCUAGUGCAAUAACUCCAAUUUACUGCCUCCUUCUUUAAAAGUAUUCAUCCUACUUCUUCAGACAAGACCACAUUGGUGACCAGGCUGUUUCUCUUUAUGGGAGGAGGUCCAGCAUUUAUGUAGGUGUCAGCCCUGAUGACAGUGACUGUAAAAAGUCUUCUGAUCUUCUUAGAAAGCAACCAUGGUCCUUGGGCCUUUCCUUAUUUUGCUGCUCUGAUGCUAUUUUCUUCAUGCAGUUGCCUACCUCUUUAAGAGCUUGAAGUGAGUCUCUGUUGUACACUCUUCUUUAUAGCUACAGCAGUUUCUUUUCGUCUGGUCUAUAGGAUUUGCUGACUGAUACAGUCAUUGUCAACACUGUCAAUACUUCCAUAUCAAGUGAGGUCAUUGUUUGCACUCCCGCUGAACCCCAUGAGGCUAUGCCCUCUGACUUUCAACUUCCAGAGUCCCUCAGACACUACUGGUUUGAAGAGAUAGCAGCUUUAUCGUUUGCAGCUAUGAAUAAGCUAUUCAAAAUGAACCCUUCAUCAACAAGGGCUUAGAAACUGAAAUGUACACACUAAAGCAUUAAAAGUUUGAUAAUUUGCCCUCUAUGCUUGACCCAUAAAACUAUGGUUGCUUCUCAGCCAUAUGACAUUUGAAGAGAACCUGUUUUACAUAUUAUGAAAUCAUUGCACCGCAAGCAGAUGAUGUUCUUUGCAUCACUGGCUGGGUAAAACUUAGUAAAGCCUGUGUUGGGCAGACUCAUAUGAGUUGUCUUCUUCUGUAGCAGAUACUUGUCUUCUUUCUAUGUACAGUCUGAUGAUGCCUGGGUGAAAUUUCAUAAGGUUAUUUCUAGCUGCUUGUCAUUUCCCUUCUAUCCUGCAUAUGAAAUUAAAGGUACAGUGGUAC
rnacentral:lncRNA from 1 species